UUCUGGCCAUGAACUGAAACAAACGGUAGGGAAUAAAGAGGAAGGAGAUGGUGAAGAUGGUGAUGGCCCUCAGAAGAACGAGAAGAAAUUACUGAGAAAAAGAGAAGCAGAGGAGAGUACCUGGGACAAGGAAUUACGCGGACAGAGUCUUGACAGCAAAAUGAGGGAGGUAAAAAAUUGAAUAGGGGCGACCCUGUAUAUAUAGUACCCCCCGACGGUCGAGAUGAAGGCACAACCAGCGAGGAGUCCCCAGAUCCCACCACGUGGCGUCAUCCGGGCCGUCCGUCCGCCCGACGGUUCGAUGCACCCACCUUCAGAUCGAGCCACGUCACCUCCAUCCGCUCCAACAAACCCAUCCCAAUGGCCGCACGCCAUGUGGCGUAAAGGCCGCGACAUUUCGUAUCCCCGAAGGGAUGGCGGGAACGGCGGUUUUCUUUCCCGACGGGAUGGGACACCUGACACCGACAGGACGUCUGACACCAGCGGGACAUCCAACGCCUGCA
rnacentral:lncRNA from 1 species